GAACGGUGAACGGGGCUUCGGCCCCUGGAUCAGUGGCGAACGGGUGCGUAACACGUGGGCAACCUGCCCCAGACACUGGGAUAACUCCGGGAAACCGGGGCUAAUACGGAUACUCCGAUCGGAUCGCAUGGUCUGAUCGGGAAAGCUUUGCGGUCUGGGAUGGGCCCGCGGCCUAUCAGCUUGUUGGUGAGGUAACGGCUCACCAAGGCGACGACGGGUAGCUGGUCUGAGAGGACGACCAGCCACACUGGGACUGAGAUACGGCCCAGACUCCUACGGGAGGCAGCAGUGGGGAAUCUUGCGCAAUGGGCGAAAGCCUGACGCAGCGACGCCGCGUGGGGGAUGAAGGCCCUCGGGUUGUAAACCCCUUUCGGCAGGGACGAAGCGAUUGUGACGGUACCUGCAGAAGAAGCCUCGGCUAACUACGUGCCAGCAGCCGCGGUAAGACGUAGGAGGCGAGCGUUGUCCGGAUUCAUUGGGCGUAAAGAGCACGCAGGCGGUUUGGCAAGUCGGAUGUGAAAAUCCGGGGCUCAACCCCGGACCUGCAUCCGAAACUGCCCGACUAGAGGUAGGUAGGGGAGAUCGGAAUUCCUGGUGUAGCGGUGAAAUGCGCAGAUAUCAGGAGGAACACCGGUGGCGAAGGCGGAUCUCUGGGCCUUACCUGACGCUCAGGUGCGAAAGCUAGGGGAGCAAACAG
rnacentral:rRNA from 1 species